CCUACUGGGUGCAGCAGUGGGGAAUAUUGGGCAAUGGGCGCAAGCCUGACCCAGCAACGCCGCGUGAAGGAAGAAGGCUUUCGGGUUGUAAACUUCUUUUCUCAGGGACGAAGCAAGUGACGGUACCUGAGGAAUAAGCCACGGCUAACUACGUGCCAGCAGCCGCGGUAAUACGUAGGUGGCAAGCGUUAUCCGGAUUUACUGGGUGUAAAGGGCGUGUAGGCGGGACUGCAAGUCAGAUGUGAAAACCACGGGCUCAACCUGUGGCCUGCAUUUGAAACUGUAGUUCUUGAGUACUGGAGAGGCAGACGGAAGUCCUAGUGUAGCGGUGAAAUGCGUAGAUAUCAGGAGGAACACCGGCGGCGAAGGCGGCCUGCUGGACCGCGACUGACGUUGAGGCUCGAAAGCGUGGGGAGCGAACAGGAUUAGAUACCCCUGUAGUC
rnacentral:rRNA from 1 species